AUUGAACGCUGGCGGCAGGCCUAACACAUGCAAGUAGAGCGGAGCGGCGGACGGGUGAGUAAUACCUAGGAAUAUGCCUGGUAGUGGGGGAUAACGUUCGGAAACGGACGCUAAUACCGCAUACUAUCAGAUGAGCUUAGGCCGGAUUAGCUAGUGGGGGGGGUAAUGGCUCACAAAGGCUACGAUCCGUAACUGUUCUGAGAGGAUGAUCAGUCACCCGGGAACUGAGACACGGUCCAGACUCCUACGGGAGGCAGCAGUGGGGAAUAUUGGACAAUGGGCGAAAGCCUGAUCCAGCCAUGCCGCGUGUGUGAAGAAGGUCUUCGGAUUGUAAAGCACUUUAAGUUGGGAGGCGUUACCGACAGAAUAAGCACCGGCUAACUCUGUGCCAGCAGCCGCGGUAAUUC
rnacentral:rRNA from 1 species